rnacentral:rRNA from 1 species
AAAAGCUUGCUUUUUUGCUGACGAGUGACGCACGGGUGCGUAACGCGUAUACAAUCUACCUCUUACAGGGGGAUAGCCUUUGGAAACGAAGAUUAAUACCCCAUAGUAUUUACAAUUCGCAUGUUUUGUAAAUUAAAGUUUCGGCGGUAGGAGAUGAGUAUGCGUUCUAUUAGCUAGUAGGUGUGGUAACGGCACACCUAGGCAACGAUAGAUAGGGGCCCUGAGAGGGGGAUCCCCCACACUGGUACUGAGACACGGACCAGACUCCUACGGGAGGCGGCAGUGAGGAAUAUUGGACAAUGGGCGGAAGCCUGAUCCAGCCAUGCCGCGUGCAGGAAGACUGCCCUAUGGGUUGUAAACUGCUUUUGUACGGGAAGAAACCCAUCUACGUGUAGAUGGCUGACGGUACCGUAAGAAUAAGCAUCGGCUAACUCCGUGCCAGCAGCCGCGGUAAUACGGAGGAUGCAAGCGUUAUCCGGAAUCAUUGGGUUUAAAGGGUCCGUAGGUGGAUUGGUCAGUCAGAGGUGAAAUCCUGCAGCUCAACUGUAGAACUGCCUUUGAUACUGCCAGUCUUGAAUUAUUGUGAAGUGGUUAGAAUAUGUAGUGUAGCGGUGAAAUGCAUAGAUAUUACAUAGAAUACCGAUUGCGAAGGCAGAUCACUAACAAUAUAUUGACACUGAUGGACGAAAGCGUGGGGAGCGAACGGGAUUAGAUACCCCGGUAGUCCACGCCGUAAACGAUGGUCACUAGCUGUUCGGACUUCGGUCUGAGUGGCUAAGCGAAAGUGAUAAGUGACCCACCUGGGGAGUACGUUCGCAAGAAUGAA